UUUUGGAUUUCGAUUAAGCCAUGCGAGUCGAGAGGGUUCGGCCCUCGGCACCCGGCUCAGUAACACGUGGACAAUCUGCCCUAGGGUGGAGGAUAAUCUCGGGAAACUGAGGAUAAUACUCCAUAGGUCUGGGAUGCUGGAAUGCUUCCAAGCUUAAAGCUCCGGCGCCCUAGGAUGAGUCUGCGGCCUAUCAGGUAGUAGUGAGUGUAAGGUGCUUACUAGCCGACGACGGGUACGGGUCUUGAGAGAGAUUGCCCGGAGAUGGAUUCUGAGACACGAAUCCAGGCCCUACGGGGCGCAGCAGGCGCGAAAACUUCACAAUGCGAGAAAUCGCGAUGAGGGAAAUCCAAGUGACUGUGCAAUGCAUAGCCUGUUUUCUUGUCUAAAAAACAAGGAGAGUAAGGGCUGGGUAAGACUGGUGCCAGCCGCCGCGGUAAUACCAGCAGCCCGAGUGGUGAUCGCUAUUAUUGGGCCUAAAGCGUCCGUAGCCGGUUUGGUAAAUCCUUGGAUAAAUCGAUGGGCUUAACUCAUCGACUUCUGAGGAGACUGCCAAACUUGGGACUGGGAGAGGUCGGAGGUACUUCAGGGGUAGGGGUGAAAUCCUGUAAUCCUUGAGGGACCACCAGUGGCGAAGGCGUCCGACUAGAACGGGUUCGACGGUAAGGGACGAAGCCGUGGGGCACAAACCGGAUUAGAUACCCGGGUAGUCCACGGUGUAAACGCUGCGGGCUUGGUGUUGGGGAUCCUACGAGGGUGUCCAGUGCCGGAGAGAAGUUGUUAAGCCCGCCGCCUGGGGAGUACGAUCGCAAGAUUGAAACUUAAAGGAAUUGGCGGGGGAGCACUGCAACGGGUGGAGCGUGCGGUUCAAUUGGAUUCAACGCCGGGAACCUCACCGGGGGCGACGGCAGGAUGAAGGCCA
rnacentral:rRNA from 1 species